rnacentral:rRNA from 1 species
GAUGAACGCUGGCGGCGUGCUUAACACAUGCAAGUCGAACGAUGAAGCCCAGCUUGCUGGGUGGAUUUGUGGCGAACGGGUGAGUAACACGUGAGUAACCUGCCCUUGACUCUGGGAUAAGCCUGGGAAACUGGGUCUAAUACUGGAUAUGACUUCUCAUCGCAUGGUGGGGGGUGGAAAGAUUUAUUGGUCUUGGAUGGACUCGCGGCCUAUCAGCUUGUUGGUGAGGUAAUGGCUCACCAAGGCGACGACGGGUAGCCGGCCUGAGAGGGUGACCGGCCACACUGGGACUGAGACACGGCCCAGACUCCUACGGGAGGCAGCAGUGGGGAAUAUUGCACAAUGGGCGCAAGCCUGAUGCAGCGACGCCGCGUGAGGGAUGACGGCCUUCGGGUUGUAAACCUCUUUCAGUAGGGAAGAAGCGAGAGUGACGGUACCUGCAGAAGAAGCGCCGGCUAACUACGUG